AAGGUCUUAGCUUAAUUUACAGUGUCUGAGUUGCAAUUGGAUGAUGUAUGUUAAAGUCUUACAGGUCUU
rnacentral:tRNA from 1 species